GUUGCGUAUACGUAACAUGAAUUUCAACUUCAACACAAUGCAACAUGGCAACUCUGCGCCGAACAUUUUAGUUAAUAAAAUCACAAGCAACGAUUCGUUGAGACUUCAGUCGCAAUUCGUGCUUCGUCGUGUCAACAGCAGCACAAGCAGCUAAGAAACAACUAAGCGUUGGGAAUUUAGCUAGUUUGCAAGAGCAACAAAAACAACAAUAACGGUUGAAUAAAGUCGAAAUUUAAAGCGGUUAAAUAAAAAUCAAACAUUGCGUGUGGUUAACGAAAAGAAAAAACCAUAAAUAACAACAAAAACAGCUAGUAAGUGCUUAAGUGCAACAACGAAAAAAAAAAAGCAAAAAAUACAGCCAAGGAAAAAAAAUUGUUAGUAAAGUGUGAAAAUAACGUAUAAUAAAUACGUGCAACAACUACAACAACAAUAAGCGUUUGAAAAGUGGCAAACGGAAAUUGGUGCAACGUGAAGUGCGAAAAUUUCCAUUCCGCAAAGUGGUGAAAAUUUUAAAACAAAUACACACUCGUGACUAACAAAACUGUGGCAAAAAGUGUACGCAAAGCAAAUAAAAAAUUCAUAAAGUAAUAAAUAAAAAAUAAAAUGUUAAGCGCAUAAAGCCGUCGGAAGUGUGGCAACAAAUUUCGGUGUCAUCCAGCUAAAAAGAUUAUUUGUAAAAGUGAAAAAAGCUAAUUAAUUACAAAAGUAAUAUAUGUAAUUCGAGCAAGCAGACUGCCACACACACAUACAUAUA